GACGAACGCUGGCGGCGUGCCUAAUACAUGCAAGUAGAACGCUGAAGCUUGGUGCUUGCACCGAGCGGAUGAGUUGCGAACGGGUGAGUAACGCGUAGGUAACCUGCCUGGUAGCGGGGGAUAACUAUUGGAAACGAUAGCUAAUACCGCAUAAGAGUAGAUGUUGCAUGACAUUUGCUUAAAAGGUGCAAUUGCAUCACUACCAGAUGGACCCGCGUUGUAUUAGCUAGUUGGUGAGGUAACGGCUCACCAAGGCAACGAUACAUAGCCGACCUGAGAGGGUGAUCGGCCACACUGGGACUGAGACACGGCCCAGACUCCUACGGGAGGCAGCAGUAGGGAAUCUUCGGCAAUGGACGGAAGUCUGACCGAGCAACGCCGCGGGAGUGAAGAAGGUUUUCGGAUCGUAAAGCUCUGUUGUAAGAGAAGAACGAGUGUGAGAGUGGAAAGUUCACACUGUGACGGUAUCUUACCAGAAAGGGACGGCUAACUACGUG
rnacentral:rRNA from 1 species